CUAAACGGUGCCCAGGGGAUCAAUUGUCUGGAGUACUAGCUAGCAUCUAAGUUCCAGUUCCCCUAGUGUCCGACUGACAGGAAGGUAGUGUAAACAAGGUUAGGGAGAGAGAAGAGGCACAGGGUCCCCAGAGAACAAGGGACCGGGUAAUCAGGUCUAAACGCAGAUGAAAAGCCUCACACAAAAAAAAUAAUAAUUUAAAUAAAUCUCUCAAUUCACCC